rnacentral:rRNA from 1 species
CCCGCCGCGACCGGCGCACGGGUGAGUAACACGUAUGAAACCUGCCCGUAGCAGGGGAGUAAGCGGAAGAAAUUCCGUCUAAUACCGCGUAACAACCCAUGGAGGCAUCUCUGUGGGUUUAAAGGAAGCGAUUCCGGCUACGGAUGGUCAUGCGUCGCAUUAGCUUGUUGGCGGGGUAACGGCCCACCAAGGCGACGAUGCGUAGGGGUUCUGAGAGGAAGGUCCCCCACACUGGUACUGAGACACGGACCAGACUCCUACGGAAGGCAGCAG